AUUGAACGCUGGCGGCAUGCCUUACACAUGCAAGUCGAACGGGGGUAGCAAUACCCUAGUGGCGAACGGGUGAGUAAUACAUCGGAACGUACCCAGUUGUGGGGGAUAACGUAGCGAAAGUUACGCUAAUACCGCAUACGCACUGAGGUGGAAAGCGGGGGAUCGCAAGACCUCGCGCAGUUGGAGCGGCCGAUGUCGGAUUAGCUAGUUGGUGGGGUAAAAGCCUACCAAGGCGACGAUCCGUAGCUGGUCUGAGAGGACGACCAGCCACACUGGGACUGAGACACGGCCCAGACUCCUACGGGAGGCAGCAGUGGGGAAUUUUGGACAAUGGGCGAAAGCCUGAUCCAGCCAUGCCGCGUGAGUGAAGAAGGCCUUCGGGUUGUAAAGCUCUUUCGGACGGAAAGAAAUCGCGUUGGUAAAUAAUCAGCGUGGAUGACGGUACCGUAAGAAGAAGCACCGGCUAACUACGUGCCAGCCGCCGCAGUAA
rnacentral:rRNA from 1 species